CAGCAGCCGCGGUAAUACCGGCGGCCCGAGUGGCGGCCACUCUUAUUGGGCUUAAAGCGUCCGUAGCCGGGUUGGUUAGUCUCCCGGGAAAUCUGGCCGCUUAACGGUCAGAAUUCCGGGAGAUACUGCCAGCCUAGGGACCGGGAGAGGCCGAGGGUAUUCCCGGAGUAGGGGUGAAAUCCUAUAAUCCCGGGAGGACCACCUGUGGCGAAGGCGCUCGGCUGGAACGCGUCCGACGGUGAGGGACGAAGGCCAGGGGAGCAAACCGGAUUAGAUACCCGGGUAGUCCUGGCUGUAAACGAUGCGGACUUUGUGUCGGACAAGCUAUGAGCUUGUCCGGUGCCGGAGGGAAACCGUUAAGUCCGCCGCCUGGGGAGUACGGCCGCAAGGCUGAAACUUAAAGGAAUUGGCGGG
rnacentral:rRNA from 1 species